CGGCAGGCUUCUGCACGGUGCACUUCGUGGGUGAAAGAUGCACUCCGCCGGGGCUAAACUGGAACUAGAAAAAGGAAUCCAGCUACGGGAUUCCAAUGGGACUGCGGUUGGCGCGUGCGCACUAAUAUUGGCGCAGACUCAGUUUUUCCAGAUCUAUGAUUGUGCCUCCCGCUAUAUCAAGAACUCGUCAAAGACUAGAACUACGUGAUGGUCCCUGUGUCCCCAGCACCCAGCCACGGACCUCUGUCUCGCAAGAAAAGGAAAAUACCGAGAUAAAUAAAUGCUUUCUGUCUUCAA